GACGAACCGAGCGAACGUUGUUCGGAAUCACUGGGCUUAAAGGGCGCGUAGGCGGGUGCUCAAGUCCGUGGUGAAAUCCUCCGGCUCAACCGGAGAACUGCCUCGGAUACUGGGCGUCUCGAGUGUGGUAGGGGUAUGCGGAACUAUCGGUGGAGCGGUGAAAUGCGUUGAUAUCGAUAGGAACUCCGGUGGCGAAGGCGGCAUACUGGUCCACUUCCGACGCUGAGGCGCGAAAGCCAGGGGAGCAAACGGG
rnacentral:rRNA from 1 species